rnacentral:lncRNA from 1 species
CUAGUUUCGUUUGUACUAAUUACAUUUUUUAAAUUAUUAUUAUUAUUAUUUAGUUUUUUGUUUUUCCUAGUAAAGAACUGUUAUUCCUAUUAUUCCUAUUCCCAUAUCUUUGCCUGAGAGCCUUUUUUAAAAUUGUGGUAAUUCAGAGGGAGGGGGUUUACUUUUUUCAUUUCACAGGAGGCUUUUGCCUUCCUUCAGAGACUCCUGUCUUUUCAAACCAAGACAAUUAGGUUUGAUUAAAAUUUUGUAGGGGAUUCUAGGACCUUCCAGUGACCCACUGUGGUGUAUGCUGGAAAUUUAUUCGGGUCAAUUAGACAUCUGCCAUGUUCAGCCUCGAAGGCCAUGACAUAUGUUUGCUCAACAGGGUAUGGCAACAAGGAGAAACGGAAUUUGCAUCCCGAGCAAGGUGCCACGGCGGUGUAUCAAUAUUGGUUUUUAAUGAGAUGUGUUGGCUUUCACAGGCAGCAAAAAGUGUAAAUUUGUGCUAAAGUGUCAGCAAAUGCCAGUCAAAGGAAUCUCUGUGUGGUGCCUGAAUGCAAAAGACACAGGAGGGGUAGGAGGAGUCGUUUGGAUCAGCUUGUGGACUCCAAGAAUUGAAUCAACUUGCAUUUAUUUGGCUGCACUUGCCCAAGCCAGGGGUGGUUGCAGAGCCAGGAAGAGAAUCCAGAAUUCCUGAGUGUCUAAUGACACCAGACUGACAGGGAUCUUCCCAUUUACUGCUGUGUGUAAAGUGUCUGUUUGUAAAAUUUUGGUGAUGAUGCCAGGCACAAGUGUACACAGGUAAAAUAUUACAGUACUCGAGUAGCCCAGGCACAGAGUGUGAAAAUUCUGUUAUCUCCAGACAGCUGUGGCUACAUCUGUGUUAUCUGCAGGUACCAGCUUUGCUCCUGAUUUGUGCCUGGGCAGACUCUGCAGCUGUGCUCAGGUGCAGAUGUGUUUCUUCUUGUGUUCCUUCUGAGGGUCUGAGGCACACCAGAAAG